rnacentral:rRNA from 1 species
GACGAACGCUGGCGGCGUGCUUAACACAUGCAAGUCGAACGGAAAGGCCCUGCUUUUGUGGGGUGCUCGAGUGGCGAACGGGUGAGUAACACGUGAGUAACCUGCCCUUGACUUUGGGAUAACUUCAGGAAACUGGGGCUAAUACCGGAUAGGAGCUCCUGCUGCAUGGUGGGGGUUGGAAAGUUUCGGCGGUUGGGGAUGGACUCGCGGCUUAUCAGCUUGUUGGUGGGGUAGUGGCUUACCAAGGCUUUGACGGGUAGCCGGCCUGAGAGGGUGACCGGCCACAGUGGGAUUGAGAUACGGACCAAACUCCUACGGGAGGCAGCAGUGGGGAAUAUUGCACAAUGGGCGGAAGCCUGAUGCAGCAACGCCGCGUGCGGGAUGACGGCCUUCGGGUUGUAAACCGCUUUCGCCUGUGACGAAGCGUGAGUGACGGUAAUGGGUAAAGAAGCACCGGCUAACUACGUG